rfam:Erinaceus europaeus unplaced genomic scaffold scaffold00388, whole genome shotgun sequence
GUCUAUGGCCAUUUCACCUUGAACACGCCUGAUCUUAUCUAAUCUCGGAAGCUAAGCAGGGUCAGGCCUGGUUAGUACCAGGAUGAGAGGAAACUGUUUCAGCUAUGCAAG